rnacentral:snRNA from 10 species
AUAAUGUCGGGGAUUACCGUGAUCAACAAGACGGUUCCCCCAGGCAGCGGUCUCAUGACUGCUUGUCUGUAACCUGUAUACUAACUAUACUAGUUAGACAUAUAAUUUUUGGUAGUGUGGGGGGGUCUUGCACCAUUGACACCCCCACC